CCCAGGAAAGCCACAGAGCAGGUUACUAUCAUCCUUAUUAAGGCCGUGGUGGGGGAGGGAGGCAAUUGGAGGCCCCGCCCCGGGGGCCGGUGAGAGUCUGGAUGUGGGUGCAGGCGGGCAGUGGCUCAGGGUGUCUCAGGGCGAUGUCCCUCUACCGUCCAGGGGUGGCUGGAGCUUCUCACUGGGUAGCAGGGGGCCUCACCCACGAAGGGGUGAGGGGAGGGGUUUGGAGCGUCUCAGGCCAACACGAGUAAAUGCAGACGGUUUGACCCAGGCUCAGCCACGCGGCACCACCAUCUGCUCUGAACAAUUCAGAAAGUGAUGCCUGCGAGCCUCUACCUGCUCUUGCCCCUCGGAGCCGUCCAGAUAUUUGUGAAAUGCGCCUCGGAACACUUUCCUUUUUGUGUCUGCGUGGGGAUUUCGAAUGACUAAAAAUGGUAAAGCACAGGUCACUGAAGCACCUUGCAAAUCAAAAGUGUGAUGUGAAGGCCUGGAACAGCAGGGGCCCCACAUCCCUUCAGGUCACGCCGUCCCGUGGGUUUGUCCUCGUUCAGGUGCAUGAUGCAGAAGAAAUGUCUGGAUCCAUUUUCUCAUAAACUUCAACCCAGCAGAGUCAGGAAUUUAGAGGCAAAGGAGAGGAACUGGCCGUUGGAGGCUGGGACUGUGCUCUCCCAUCUCCUUGGAGGAGCUGCAGACCCAGGGGUGGUGACAGCCAGAUGGCUGCCUCUGUGCCACACGGAGUGCGGCCUUCCUGGAAGAAAGCAAACAAAACACGUGUGACUAUUUGAAAAAUUAUUGGAAAACCCGUUCUGAAGGCGAUGGCUUUGAAAGGCUCCCUCGGGCGGAUGUGUCACCUUGGGCUCCCUGUGCCCCUCACCCCGCGGUGCGUAUGUGGGGAGGGGGCGGGGCAGCUGAGCGCCUCGGAGGAGGAGGAGAUGAUGGGCCGGAUGAACACCGCCGCCUCCCCCAGCAGCCGUGUGCAGCUCACACACACAGACACGGAGGGGAGUGCGCACGUGUGUGAGGCCCGCGUCCAGCUGAAAUUAGACAGGCCAGUGGUCUGACCCCCACCAAAGUGUGCACGGCGAAUGCCAGGCGUGGGGGGGACUAUUUUGGGUUUCUAGGCGUUUGUGAUGUUGUUAUAAAUAACAUCGUGGGCUGCACGGGGAUUGAAGAGGAGCCUUUUCAUUUCGGCCAUCUGGGCAGAAUGCUUUUCCUUUGGUGGGGAAAACACCUUUGCUGUGCUUCAGCUGGCACGUUGCCUCCCAACGAAGGUGACAGCGGAUGCUGCAUGGCCCUGUCUUUGCAGGAAGAGGAGGCUCAGCUCUCCCGGGGGGACAGGCCUUUCAACUGCUCAGGUGCCAACUUGAGGGGACCCCGGGGCCAGGAGAGCCACCUCGAGGUGUUCAGUGGUGUGGCUGGCUCGGCGUGGGCUUUCCAUUGUCAGGCGGUGACAGCCAUGCGUUGCAGACAGACACCCUUGGGAGACGUCUCUCUGCUUUCAUAACACCAAAGGAUUUUUUUUCUGACUCAUCUUCAGAAGAUCCCUCUCCCCGCCCCCCCACCGACGUUUGAAAAUAAAUAUAAUUAGUAACAGGCAGACAUACUGUAUAUAGCCAGCCCUUCCUAUCUGGGAGAGUUAUAAUUAAAUGUACAUGCUGUCUGUUGUUCUCUGUCUGCUAAGCGCCUCGCCACCCGCUUUAGGGGAGCGGCAGCCCCUGGGUGGAGGCUCAGGGAGAGAGACCUGGUGGGGCUGAGUCCAGCGUCCAGUCGGAAGUGAAGGCCACCCUGUUGGCUGAGUGGCAGGCGUGCCCACUGUCCGCUCGCACUGCCCACCCUUCGACCUUUCUCCAUCAUCAGCCUCAAGCUCCUCAGGAAAUGCCUGUCCUGUGAAAUUGGAGUUCCUGUUGCCGUUUACGAGGUGAGGAAACUGAGGCUCAGAGGGCCAAAGGACCUACUGGAGAUGGGCUGAGAUGGCUCCAGAAUAUCCACCCUUUGAUGUCAAGGGUAGUAGGUAUAGAUGACCUAAAGUUACUGCCACGUUCAGGCCCUUGAAAGGGUGAUCUGCUUCCCUUUCCUUUGAAAUCUGCAUUGUGGACUGUGUCCCUGUGUUCUCGAGGGUGGAGUCUGCUGCUCUGAGAGGAGUUGGGAGGGUCUGACCCCACUGGAGCCUGGAGUGGGUUCCAGGGAGAGCUGCCAGUUUUAUCAAAUAAAAAUGCAAGAUGCUCAGUUACAUUUGAGUUGAAUUUCAGAUAAACCGAAUAUUUUUUUAGCCUAAGUAUGUCCCAUGCAACAUUUAGGAUAUAUUUAUGCAAAAAAAAAAGUAUUCUUUGUUUAUCUAAAAUUCAGAUGUGACUGGGGGUCCUGUAACUAGGUAAUCCUAGUUCCAGGUGAAGCUUGUAGCUCAUCUAAUGCUGAAGGAGGCCUCCAUCCGCAGAGGCUGGGACCAGAUUCAGCGGUGCUCUUAGCUUUGCUGGUUCUCCAAAGCUCUUUCUGAAAUCAGCCUCACCAUCCACAGCUGAAGGUUCAAAUGGGCAACUUGGGCAGAUUCUAACCAGCCAGGUUUUGUUUGGCUGGCGUGAUGUUAAUAAAAAUAAUUCAGUCAAUUUUUAAAAGUCAGGAGCUCUCGCAUACAAAUCUAAAUUUCCAACAAUCUUAAAAAAAAUCAGAUCAGCCACGCUGAGCCAUGAAGACCACGUGGCAGCUGUCAUCUGCACCUAAGCGCCAGCACCUCUCUUGGGCAGGGCAUGCACUUGCCAGUCUGUCCCGUCCUCAUGGUUCCCUGUGGUUACAUCCAUCCCACUUACUCAUCACGCCUACCUGUCCAGCCCCUGCAGGCAUUGAGUUUUUGACGCCUAUAUGCCCAAAAGUCUCCUUCUUGCAAUGACAGCAAAAAUACCAAGUUUUCAAUGCACUGGCUCCACCCAUUUCUCCCAUUUUACUGCAUCUCCU